rnacentral:tRNA from 1 species
UGCCCUAGUAGCUUAGCCACAAAGCACCGGUCUUGUAAUCCGGAUAUCGGAGGUUAAAAUCCUCCCUAGUG